GGUUGGGUCGGAUAUUUUAUGAUGAAGCUCGAUUCGUGAUUUUUCUUGCGUUAUUUCAUCCUGACACAUCUUCCUUGAAAUUAUGCAACAGGAAUGAUGAAAUGUUCCUCCUUGUGUAUGACACUCCUCUUUGGGUGUGUGUCUUUGCCAUGCUCUCAUUCUGGCUAGAAUUACCUGUACGCAACACAACUUUGCUCUUAAGCAAUUUUUCCUUUGCUCAUUAUAUUCAGUGGAUAAAAAUAUCAGGUCAAUCAGGUCUAUAAUAGUCUCAGUAAUGAAGUGGAAGGACUGCCAACACUCAAAGUAUUUCCAGGGCCUGUUCCUACAUGAAGAUAUCUACUGUCUCAUCUACAAGAUUGGCUUAAUGAGCCUUAAAGGUAAAUUUAUUUAGAGGGGAAUCCAGCCAACCUUCGACCUCCAGCAGUCCUCAUCUUCAUUAAUUUGUUGUAAUGUGGAUCUCGAGUCUCUUUGAAGAGUUAAUUGAAACUAAAAGCAAUAAAAAUAAACUUUGCUCAUGUACUUAGGGUCUUAAAUCAGAGAACAGUCUCUUUGGUGCGAUGAUAACCUUGAACACGUUGAAGUGUUGUGUUGAUUUGUAAUCAAUAUCAACAGAGUUUCUGCUGCUCAGCACAGACUUUAACACAAACCUUAUUGUGCUGUUGUGCUUCACAACCAUAAAAGCUCCCGUGGGUCUUUCUGCCUCCAGCUUUCACUCAACACUCUUGGCUGUUUUAGAACUAUUUAUUUUAUUUUAUUUUUUUACAAUUUUUCCCUCCUUUUUUGAUUGCCUUUUAACAAGCCUGCACAACAGUUUUCACGUGUCCAGAUGAUUUUGAUAUUUCUAAAUCUUCUACAAUACAAGAGGAAGUGGAAAAGGAAGAGCCUAGAAGUUGAACUUUUGUCUUAAACUAGCGUCAAACAAAAAGCAGACCUUGUACCGAAAUUUUAAUUUCCUAUGGGGUAAAAUGAAAAGCUAGCUUUUGUAAACACAGACAGAUUUGAACAGCUGAGAUUAAGAACACAGAUUUUCAAAAUGGCAGGAUUUUUGUCACACGAGCCUCCACCAGGAGUUAGAAAAAGAAACAGGAUCAAGACUGGAUGUUUUCUUUAAAGCUCUUGGGUGUCUGUUUGGGCUGUGGCUUUUACCAACUCAAUUUUUAAUAUUUCUGUCGCAGUGUUAGCCUGUCAGAACGCACAUAAAGUAGGGUGACCAUAUUCUGAAUCCCCCAAAAAAGGACACUACUACACGGGGCGGGUCGCACGCAAAAUUUUUAGGGUUGAGUCGAGUGUUUUUUACACGCUUGUAUCUUAGUUAGUCCACGCUACACAAACUCAAAACUUCCAUACAAACCCCAGACAUUUGAAAGUAGGCCGGACAGCCCCCCCCAAAAGAAAACAUGUCUGGAUAAAAGAGGACGUAUGGUCACCCUAUAUACAGACCACCCAACACAAAAAAGACACUGAAGGGGAGCUAGUAUGUUAGUAUGGAGGGGGGAUUGGACUUCAAAAUGGGGUCAAACAAUGCUGAACUGUCACUAAGUAGUUAGAGCUUCAUUAGAGCAUCAAGUAAUGUUAAAGCGAUAACUCUAACCUGCAUCACUUUUUAUCGUUCUGCCUCACUAAGUAGUCAUAAUACCUCCACCUAACCAAACAUGGAAUAUUUCACAGCUGUAAAUACAUGACAGGAAACACUAGAGCUACGGAAGUUAAAGUGUAAGUGACCCAGGAUAAAAAAGAGUUGGAUUUCAAAGUACAAACAUGUUAAACCAUGCCGAAUAAGCACAUUUUGACUUCUCUUGCUUUAGAGACAUCAGACAUAUCUUUGUGAUACAGUUCAGAGUUCAGAGGUCUUGACUUUCAUGGUGGUUGACAGUCUAUAGUGCAGUGGGAGAUGGAAAUCAUACAAACACCUGGACCGACGAUGAAAGCUUUAGAGUAAGUUCCAUUGGAAUAAGCUCUGAAACUCAUAACCAGCAUGAGAAUGAUGAAACACAGGGCUGAACACAGCGAGGAGGAAUGAUCGAAUAUGAUAAAAUCAGGAGACACAUCAGAUAAGAGUGCGGGCGAAGUUAUACAUGUGCUUUAUAUGAAUGAGCUUGCACAGAAACCAGUACAGUGUGUGUGUGUGUGUGUUAGCAGGUGGCAUGUGUGUGGGCUUUCAGUUUGACUUUUCAUUAUUUAAAAUGGAUGUAAAGCAGAAACAUUCCCUUCCUAUGUGGUCUGUAUCACUCAACACACUGGAAAUUAUACCCAACUAUAUGUCUACAUUUUUAAAGCCAUGAAUGUGUGUGUGUGUGUGAGGAAGUGUGUGUACGUGUGUUGGCUGAAAUAUCUCUCAGGAUCUAGGUUGACGUUUGUUUAUAAGUAUGAGAUAUGUCUGAAUGAGCAUGCAGGCAUUGUGGAGCCUGAGGCUUAUGCUGUACGUGUGCAUGUGUCGGUCUCUGUAUAACUUUGCUCCAUCGCAUCCUGGGAGACGCGGCGUGUCGAAGCAGCUUUGAAAUCCGGCCAAAAAAAAAUUAGAGGAAAAGAAAUUCAACAGUUUUUUUUUUUUUUUUUUUUUCAAAUUCAGCCACAGUGAAAACAUCAUUAGUCAUCCAGACAUUGGUGCACAUUAAACAUCUCUCUGGGUGAGGCUGGUAGAGAAGCCAUCAUUCUUUUAGACUUUUUCCUCCAUAAAUGUUAUGACAACCUAAAUCGUUUUUCACAUUUUUUACCCUGUAAAGAGUUUUAAAUCAUCCAGCUUGGGGAAGGUAAUCAGUUGGUUGAAGUUUUUGAUCAAAUGCCAGCUCAUACAACAGUUUUGACCUUUUGGGCCACCUUCACCUGUCCUGCCUCUUCACCUGUCCUACUUCGGCCACACCUCCUUAGCUUUCUCCUUUCCGUACCUUUUUGCAGUCUCCUUCAUCUCAUCUUUUUUUUUGUUCCAGCUCCAGCCUCAUAUUCUCAGAGCAGCCAUUUGUCUGUCACAACUUUCUCGUGGUAAAUACUGUCAAACCAACAGGUUUUAGCCUGCAGGUGAAUGUAAAUCACUUCAGGAAACCUAAUACAUGUUCGUGCCUUUAUUGCUACAAGCUGAAAGUAGACUACACUAUGCAUACCUGGCACAGAUGUACCUGUGAUCAGACGAAUGUUAAACUGUUAAAGGGAUAUUCUGGUAUUAAAUUAAGUUAGGGUCAAACACACCGUAACACCGAAUUAGACACCUGGUCGAGAGAUGAAUGCUGCCGACUGCUUGCUUUUCUAGUUAUACUUAAUAAACUUAAUUUUACGCCGGAAUAUCCCUUUUAAAUUGUGCUCAAUUUUGACUCUUUCCUAAAUAUUUUCUUACUCAUGGAUUUUACACCUGCAGCAUGACGUCAGAUGAAAAUAGCUUUUUUCAUUUUCAUUGUACCUUUGUCCUCGCUUGUUAUCACCUCAAACCAUUCCUCAAUCCUCCCUCUAUACCUCUCCCUAAAUUUUAAACUCUGCUGCUCCCUCCUUCUUCAAACCACACU